GGAGGGGGGGUAUGUCGGGGCGUCAGGCCUGUGGGGCCCCAGACGAUCCCCCCAGAAUCGCUCUCACGCCCACUCGCACUGGCGUCGAGAACUUGGGGACCCAGCGGUUCCAGGUCGCUCUCGUAACACAUGUUUGUGAAUGCGAACUGUGCACCAACCCACCCCCAGGCAGAGGGACCAGGCGACAGGCCAGACAGCAGCCGGGGGCUUCACGGGGGACGGGGGGACGGGGCAGCCCCCCUGGGGAGCAGCAGCGUCUGGAGGGAGGUGUGGUCCACAUGACACUGAAGCAUGUGAUGACACGCGUAACACAUACGUGUGUAUAAAUAACAUACACAUAAAGUAACCCAAAGCUCGAAACAAUCCGACGUGCUAUAACGAGGAACCGGCCGCCACAGGGCAUCCAUCCCGCGGAAUGCCGCGCACUCAGCAACGAACACAGCGUCCGCGUGCCCGGCAACCCAGACCACCCGACACGCGUGUGCUGAGGGAGGGGCCAGACACACAGGCUGCGCGUUGUGCCAUGUGACUCUGGGGUGACACUCGGCCGGGCAGAGCUCAGUGGCUAUGGGGGGAGGGGCGGCGCCGACCACAAAAGCGCCACAGACUGCACGUUUAGGCUGACGGAAUGUUCCAGAAGGAGCGUGGGGGCUGGACGCACAACGCCACGUGCCUGUCGGAACCCCCAGAGCUGCGACCUGCAGAGGGAAUUCCGCUAUACUGAGAAACGUUCACCCGGCUGCCGGGGCCCCGGGACGCGGCGCAGACCGUGACAGACGGACCCGCCUAGGUCACAACCGAACGGCACAGCCUCACGGGGGCGGCAGAGGCCGACCCAGCAACUCCGGAAAGAUGCAGACCACGGCCAAGGGGUCCAGAGGUGGCGGCAGCCCCACAGCAAGGGCGCGCCUGGUGCCCCGACCGAGGUACAAGGAACUGAGUAAAGGAACAGCGGGGAGGAGGAACGGUGGGGAGGAGGGCCAGCUCCUCCUCUCAGAAGACGCCAGUGACCAGGCGUGGAAGAAAGCGGGCGCAGAGUCACGCUGGGAAACAAGGCGAGUAGCCCUGCUGGCGGGGCCUGCCGACAGGCGCCAAGCAUGAGCAGGACGGGAUGUCCACACAGCCCUAUGGCGUCCUCGCCCCAAUAAACACCUGUCCGCUACAAAGAGAAAAGCACGACCUUCGCACGAGAAGCCCAGCAGACGCCACUGCGAGGACGACAGUUAACGUCACCCGCGAUAGGACGCGU